rnacentral:rRNA from 1 species
CCUACGGGAGGCAGCAGUAGGGAAUCUUCCACAAUGGGCGAAAGCCUGAUGGAGCAACGCCGCGUGGGUGAAGAAGGUCUUCGGAUCGUAAAACCCUGUUGUUAGAGAAGAAAGUGCGUGAGAGUAACUGUUCACGUUUCGACGGUAUCUAACCAGAAAGCCACGGCUAACUACGUGACAGCAGCCGCGGGAAUACGUAGGUGGCAAGCGUUAUCCGGAUUUAUUGGGCGUAAAGGGAACGCAGGCGGUCUUUUAAGGCUGAUGUGAAAGCCUUCGGCUUAACCGGAGUAGUGCAUUGGAAACUGGGAGACUUGAGUGCAGAAGAGGAGAGUGGAACUCCAUGUGUAGCGGUGAAAUGCGUAGAUAUAUGGAAGAACACCAGUGGCGAAAGCGGCUCUCUGGUCUGUAACUGACGCUGAGGUUCGAAAGCGUGGGUAGCAAACAGGAUUAGAUACCCCGGUAGUC